GAAAGGAGUGCCCAUUCUUGUUGUUUUCUCUAGAUCGAUGUGAAGACAGAAAAGGAGGCAGCCUGAGUUCUGGUAUUUGAAAAAUUACUUUGGAAGAGCUGCUGUGGUGAAUGCAGUUGAGCAGGAAGCUGGAAGAACAGAAUUUGUCAGACAAGGGAAUUUCCAAUAUUUGAAAGGUCUAAAUAUUUUGAAUGCUCAAGAGGUUUAAGGAAACAGACUCUCUGCAACCACAAAGUGAAGGGUGGGAUGCUGUACCAACUGAUAUUGGUGAAAACAGAUAUUGUCAAAGCAAUUUUUAAGUAAACAAGGUUUACAAAAUGCUUCCAUACCGUAAUAUUCCCAGCUGGAGACUGGAGCUACUGCUAUCCCACAUUUGAAAAGACCUGUUCCGGACGCAAGGGCCAGUGAUGAAACGUAACCACCGUAACUCAGAAAUGUGACUCUAAAAACAGAAGAGUUGUCUGCCCAUGUCCCUUGGAAAUUGGAACUUUUUUCUAAAAAAUGAAGAAGAAACCAGAGCAUCACAAUAAGGCUGCGCCUCUCCCUGGAAGGCACAUCUAACCCAUAUGCACUUGCUGGGAGAGUCUCUUCUGGAAACAUGGAGCAAGCAGUGUUCUGGGCCAUGGAUCCUCCCUCCCCCCAAAAAUGUGUGUGCUAGAUUAAGAAGUGAGUCUCUGUGUUUACUCUUGCCCCAACGCUGGGACAUCCCUGCAAGUCACAGGAGGACAGUAUGACUCUCCCACUAACAAUGUACUUUGUAUUUAAAAUGUUAUUUCCACAAAUUCCUGGAAAUCAUUUUCCUCAGGUCAGAAAAGCUCGUAUUACCAUUUGGUACAGAAAAGUCAGUCUUUAGAGAGGGUGAAAGAAUGAGUGUGAGAGCUCUACAAAGCAAGAGAGAAAAGCUGACAGACACACAGACAGACAAAUGGGACAAAUCCACAGGGCAGUGGCAGGGGUCUAAUCUUAAUCCAUAAAAUACAUGAAAUGGCGGAAUAAGCUAAACAAUCUUGCUGAAUUCAACAGUUAAAGGAAGACUUCUCUAGUUUAUAGCUUUAUGUUUCCAGAUCUGGAAAGUUUUACUGAGGACCCUUGACUCCAAAACAUAGAAUAAAGAGGUGGUUCUGAUUGUACCAUGGGGUCUUUUUAUCACACGUGGAGAAAAACUAAAACAUGUUUUAAUAGGGGAAAGAUAUAUUUUAAAAACAGAAGAAAUAUUUGGACUUCAAAAUCAUGUCGGCAGAAAUGUA